rnacentral:rRNA from 1 species
UACGUAGGGGGCAAGCGUUGUCCGGAUUUAUUGGGCGUAAAGCGCUCGCAGGUGGUCCGCUGCGUCGUGCGUGAAAGACCCCGGCUCAACUGGGGAGUGUCGUGCGAUACGGGCGAACUGGAGGCCAGUAGGGGGAUGCGGAAUUCCGGGUGUAGUGGUGGAAUGCGUAGAGAUCCGGAGGAACACCAGCGGCGAAGGCGGCAUCCUGGACUGGUCCUGACACUCAUGAGCGAAAGCGUGGGGAGCGAGUCCGG